AGGAAAUGUUUGACUUUACUCCCUCCUCUUUUAGUAUAAAAGAAGCCUGACUUCUAACUCAGGCAAGAUGGUUCUUUGGGACACGAGUCCAUGGUCUGCUGGCUUUCUGAAUAAAGUUGCUACUCCUUGCCCCCAAAAUUUGUCUCUCAAUUUAUUGGCCUGUUGUGUAGGGAGCAGUACAAGUUUGAACUCGGUAUCAACAUCGUUCUGCAUACUUUUCUCCACGGUUUCUCCAUUCUUUUUUCUUUAUUGCAGCUAUGAUGGUUUGCCAGAGACAGAGGUCAGUGUAGCAGGGGGAUGGACACACAGGCUCUUGAGUCAGACAGCCCUGAGUUCAGAUCCUGGAUCCCCAACUGUAGUCGAGGGCAGCAGUGGCUGAGGACCCAGCUACACACAUUUCUUCAGCUUCCAGAUGGCCUGUGGCUGGAGGAAACAACGAUGGGGGUCCCUCGUGGACCCAUCUCUCAACUGUAAAAUAGAAACACACCAGCGAAGCCGACUUGAAAAGGUUUACGAAGGAGCCAGGCUUAGUGGAGCGUCUCCUCAGCUCUCAAGUGGUUCCCAGCAGUAAGAAGUGGAUCUGAGUCCUUACCACCAGCAGAGGUCAGUUUCCCACAGGUGUCCAAGAGGCAGGUCUUGAAAUCAUCUUGUAGCUGCGAGAACACAAGUCACCUCUUCUUCGAUGCUGUUUUGUGAUUACUGCUCGAGAGAGACAAAAGAGAGAGACUGACAGAUGGGUGUGUGGGGACGAGAGAGACAGAGAGAGAGAGA